CCGGCUCCGGUUCACCCGCUCACAAACAGGGACCCGGCGGCC
rnacentral:ncRNA from 1 species